CACGCUGUAAACGGUGGGCACUAGGUGUGGGGAUCGUUGUGGUUUCUGCGCCGUAGCUAACGCAUUAAGUGCCCCGCCUGGGGAGUACGGCCGCAAGGCUAAAACUCAAAGGAAUUGACGGGGGCCCGCACAAGCGGCGGAGCAUGCGGAUUAAUUCGAGGCAACGCGAAGAACCUUACCAAGGCUUGACAUAUUUGAGAAGACCGUAGAGAUGCGGGGAUCUUUGGACACUCAUUUACAGGUGG
rnacentral:rRNA from 1 species